rnacentral:rRNA from 1 species
CACGCCGCGUGGAGGAUGAAGGUCUUCGGAUUGUAAACUCCUGUCAUGAGGGAGUAAGGCACAGCGUUAACUGCGUAUGUGUUUGAUAGUACCUCAAGAGGAAGAGACGGCUAACUCUGUGCCAGCAGCCGCGGUAAUACAGAGGUCUCGAGCGUUGUUCGGAUUCAUUGGGCGUAAUGGGUGCGUAGGUGGCAAGGUAAGUCAGAUGUGAAAUCCCCGGGCUCAACCUGGGAACUGCAUUUGAUACUGCCGUGCUCGAGUGCUGGAGGGGAGACUGGAAUUCACGGUGUAGCAGUGAAAUGCGUAGAUAUCGUGAGGAAGACCGGUGGCGAAGGCGAGUCUCUGGACAGCAACUGACACUGAGGCACGAAGGCUAGGGGAGCAAACGGGAUUAGAUACCCCGGUAGUCCUAGCAGUAAACGGUGCGCGUUUGGUAUGGGGGGAUCGAACCCUUCCGUGCCGGAGCUAACGCGUUAAACGCGCCGACUGAGGAGUACGGUCGCAAGAUAAAACUCAAAGAAUUGAC